UACGGGGGGGGCAAGCGUUGUUCGGAAUUACUGGGCGUAAAGGGCUCGUAGGUGGCCAACUAAGUCGGACGUGAAAUCCCUCAGCUUAACUGGGGAACUGCGUCUGAUACUGGAUGGCUUGAGUUCGGGAGAGGGAUGCGGAAUUCCUGGUGUAGCGGUGAAAUGCGUAGAUAUCAGGAGGAACACCCGUGGCGAAGGCGGUUCUCUGGGACGGUACUGACGCUGAGACGCGAAAGCGUGGGGAGCGAACAGG
rnacentral:rRNA from 1 species